rnacentral:rRNA from 1 species
UACGUAGGGUCCAAGCGCUAUCCGGAAUCACUGGGCGUAAAGCGUGCGUAGGUGGCGCGUUAAGUGUGAUGUUAAAUCGUGGGGCUCAACCCUGUCGGUGCAUCACAUACUGGCGUGCUAGAGGACAGCAGAGGCAAGUGGAAUUAGCAGUGUAGCAGUGAAAUGCGUAGAUAUUGCUAGGAACACCAAUGGCGAAGGCAGCUUGCUGGGCUACUCCUGACACUGAUGUACGAAAGCGUGGGGAGCGAACAGG